rnacentral:lncRNA from 1 species
ACAUGCUGUAGUGGCUCGCGCGGCAGGAGGAAUUCUACACUGUCACACUUGCAUCACCUCAUCAAUAACAAGUCAAUCACAUUCCUUCUUUUCAAAUAAAAGUACAAUAAAAAUAUUUUUUAUACAAUCAUGAUGGGACAUAUAUUCUUAAAAUAAUUAAUUUAAUUGGUUUGUUACGCCACGUCACUAAUAUACCCGUUGCAUUCUAGAAUUUUUCGCGCGGCAGAC